CCUACGGGUGGCAGCAGUGGGGAAUAUUGCACAAUGGGGGAAACCCUGAUGCAGCGACGCCGCGUGAGUGAAGAAGUAAUUCGUUAUGUAAAGCUCUAUCAGCAGGGAAGAAAAUGACGGUACCUGAGUAAGAAGCCCCGGCUAACUACGUGCCAGCAGCCGCGGUAAUACGUAGGGGGCAAGCGUUAUCCGGAUUUACUGGGUGUAAAGGGAGCGUAGACGGCAGUGCAAGUCUGGCGUGAAAGGCGGGGGCCCAAACCCCGGACUGCUCUUGAAACUGUACGGCUGGAGUGCAGGAGAGGUAAGUGGAAUUCCUAGUGUAGCGGUGAAAUGCGGAGAUAUUAGGAGGAACACCAGUGGCGAAGGCGGCUUACUGGACUGUAACUGACGCUGAGGCACGAAGGCCAGGGGAGCGAAAGGGAUUAGAUACCCCAGUAGUC
rnacentral:rRNA from 1 species